UGAGGAAUAUUGGUCAAUGGGCGAGAGCCUGAACCAGCCAAGUAGCGUGAAGGACGACGGCCCUACGGGUUGUAAACUUCUUUUAUAAGGGAAUAAAGUUCGCCACGUGUGGUGUUUUGUAUGUACCUUAUGAAUAAGCAUCGGCUAAUUCCGUGCCAGCAGCCGCGGUAAUACGGAAGAUGCGAGCGUUAUCCGGAUUUAUUGGGUUUAAAGGGUGCGUAGGCGGCCUUUUAAGUCAGCGGUGAAAGUCUGUGGCUCAACCAUAGAAUUGCCGUUGAAACUGGGGGGCUUGAGUAUGUUUGAGGCAGGCGGAAUGCGUGGUGUAGCGGUGAAAUGCAUAGAUAUCACGCAGAACCCCGAUUGCGAAGGCAGCCUGCCAAGCCAUUACUGACGCUGAUGCACGAAAGCGUGGGGAUCAAACAGGAUUAGAUACCCUGGUAGUCCACGCAGUAAACGAUGAUCACUAGCUGUUUGCGAUACACUGUAAGCGGCACAGCGAAAGCGUUAAGUGAUCCACCUGGGGAGUACGCCGGCAACGGUGAAACUCAAAGGAAUUGACGGGGGCCCGCACAAGCGGAGGAACAUGUGGUUUAAUUCGAUGAUACGCGAGGAACCUUACCCGGGUUUGAACGCAUUUCGACAGCUCUGGAAACAGAGUCUCUAGCGAUAGCGAUUUGCGAGGUGCUGCAUGGUUGUCGUCAGCUCGUGCCGUGAGGUGUCGGCUUAAGUGCCAUAACGAGCGCAACCCUUGCCACUAGUUACUAACAGGUAAAGCUGAGGACUCUGGUGGGACUGCCAGCGUAAGCUGCGAGGAAGGCGGGGAUGACGUCAAAUCAGCACGGCCCUUACAUCCGGGGCGACACACGUGUUACAAUGGCGUGGACAAAGGGAGGCCACCUGGCGACAGGGAGCGAAUCCCCAAACCACGUCUCAGUUCGGAUCGGAGUCUGCAACCCGACUCCGUGAAGCUGGAUUCGCUAGUAAUCGCGCAUCAGCCAUGGCGCGGUGAAUACGUUCCC
rnacentral:rRNA from 1 species